rnacentral:lncRNA from 1 species
CAAGUAAUCGACCUACCUUCUAGUUUUCUUUCUAUUAUAUCAUCAUAGAACGCUUAAGCAUGGGAUGAACUCUAAUGGAAAGCCUCAAGGCCUACACCUAAGGCCCCACAAAGGCAUCCAUUUGGAUUCAUCCUAUUCAGCGAUCUUAAGAGUCUAUGCAUAAGAAUGAACUUUGAUGGGAAGCCUCAAGGCCUACACCUAAGGCCCCACAAAGGCACCCAUUUGGGUUCGUUCUAUUCCUUGGAUUCGGGUAAUCAGAAAUAUAAUGGUUAGAAGACUUCUACAAUCACAAGAAUACAUAUGAUGUGUUCGAGUACUGGUUUAGUUAUGUAUGGGAAGCCUCAAGGCCUACAUUUAAGGCCCCACAAAGGCACCUGUUAUAACUAAACACGGUUUCUUGGAUACAUAUAUAUAUAUAUACAAUGAAAGAACGACAACCAUUUUACAUCUGCCAUGCUAAAGAU